UCCCUGAGGACGAUACUCUUCUUAUUACUUUACUAUAAAACUACGAUACUGUGCACUUGCAGUUUUGCAUCGGUCACAUAUUGAGAAGAAUAUUACCAAUAACAUCUUAUUCACUUUAAUGAACAGUCCAAGAAAACUAAGGAUAAUAUCAAUUCAAGGCGUGACCUGGAGAUUUUGGGCUAUAGAAAAGAAUUACAUUUAAGGCAUGAAGGUGAUGGUGUAACAAUGUCACAUGCACUGUACACAUUACACGAAAAUGAAAGGAAUAAAUUUUGUGAGUGGUUGUCUAAUAUCAAAUUUCCAGAUGGGUUCACUUCCAAUAUCUCAAACUGUGUUUCUCUACAUGAUUGCAAAAUCUCAAGGUUGAAAAGUCACGACUGUCAUGUUUUCCUUCAAAGACUACUCUCCAUUGCUGCUGGCGGUAUUUAAGAAGUGACAUUGCCUUAGCUUUUACCUAACUUAGCACUUUCUUGAAAGAGUUGUGCACUCUAACACUGGAUGUGAAUCGUCUAUCCUAGCUCCAAACUGAUAUUGUCACCAUUGUAUACAAAUUGGAGAUGAUAUUCUCUCCUUCCUUUUUUGAUGUCAUGGUCCACCUAACUGUCCAUUUACCCCCGUGAGGUCAUACUUGGGGGUCUAGUACAAUAUAAGUGGAUGUACCCAUUUGAAAGGUAUCUCGACAAACUCAAGUGGUAUCCUGACAUUUUGCUCCAUGUAUAUCGAAGAUGUUGAAACGAAGUUUAGUUGAGCGGACUGCAACAUUGAUGUUGAAGAAGAGGAAACUAUAGAUGGAUUCAGAAAUUUCAACCAAAAAGUUCAUCCCUUGGGUAUAGCUUCUAAUGUUCAAUUAGAAGAUAAACUCCAUUUGGUACGUGCUCAACAAUUGUGCGGAGAUUGAACAGUAUAUAGAGUAAUCAUCAACGAGUUUACUUAAAAAUCUACUUUCAGUCCAAUUUAACAAGUUGUUAUCAACCCAAUACCAACUAACUUGAAGAUUUUGCUUGGUGAUUUCGUGCUUCAAAUGCAGAGAACACUACGAGAAAUGUAAGGUAUACAAAACCCAAAUUGCAUCGAUCGCACGCAUUAAACUGACUUUCCAACUUGGUUCAAGCAACGUGUAAGUUCUUCUCCAUCCUUAUCUACAUUGAAAUAUUAUAGGUUUCCUUGAUAUGCUUUGGAAUGAUGAAAAUAUACAUUGUGAAUUUUCUACAAUUUUGGUAUAAAUCCAGGAAUAUUGUACCUCGAAUCCACUUGAUGUGUUUGCUGAUCUAUAUGCGUUAGCUUACGGGCCUGUUGGGUUGCAUCAUAUGCUGUUGCAUAAUAAAUGGAAAAAGGUUUCAUACGAAGUAGCAUGAACUUUGCCGACAUACACAAAAUUUUGGGGUGUUGGUAACUGGGGAUGAGGCCACAAGUAACGUAGACUUCCACGAUGUUAUCAAUAAUAUCGUAGAGUUAUGCUACAUGGAGUGGCGUCGAGUAUACCUAUUUGAAUGUGAUUGGUUUGACGUUGGUGAUCGAAAAUGAGGGGUGCGGGUUGAUGACCAUAUGAUUAGUAUCAACAUGAAUAGGACUUGGUAUAAGGAUGAACCAUUUGUGUUGGCGAGUCAGGCUGAUUAAUGUUUCUACAUAAGAGAUAUAAGGCCGAAAGGAAGUUGGGGUGUUGUGUAGAACUAUACAAAUAGAAAUAUAUAUAACAUUCCAUCAGUACCGAGGGUUCUGGAAAGUAUUGAUGGCGAAUCAAGUACUAAUGAUGCCGAUCAAGAAAAUAUGUCAUCAUAUUAUUAUGAACCAAUGCAGUGUGAAAAUGCAAAUCCAAUAUCAUUUCCACUGGAUAAGCUUGAUAUACUACCUAGCCAUAUUGAUGCAUGAGAAGUCAUGGACCCGCAUGGUCAAUGCAUAGAUUUAGCAGGCUUUAUCAAUGAUGACAUGAUGACUUUUGGUUUUGGAGAUGUGUUUGGUGGGGAGAAUAUUCAGAUGAAGGGGACCUAUCAACAGAGGAAGAGUCUAUGUCAUAUUUAUAAUUACAACCGAAAAACGUCAUUGAUUUAAGGUUGGCACAGUAGAUUACCUCUUUGAAAUUGGUAUUGUACAUAGACAGUUCAAUAUGAGAUUGUAUGAAAUACCCGUUUUGAUUUAUUUAUUAAAACCAUGAAUUAUAAUUAUUGAUAAAUGGAUUGAACUAAUAUGCAUAAGAUAACAUCGAUGUUUUCAUAUAUUUCAAGGUAUAUAAAUACCUAAAAAUUUAUUUAUUUUCUUAAAACUUGUUUGACUUCUGACAUGUAUGAUAUUAUUCUUGCUCAGGUGAGGGGAAAACAAUACUGCGUUGCAUUAAAGCUUCACUUCACUGAAUCUGGUUUGGGCGAUAAGCUAUGUGGGCAUGUCAGCACAAUCCCAUCUUCAAUCUAGAGGCAUGAGGAGCACUAUCAAUUAUCAAGGUGACCGAUCGGGACCCAAUUCUAGAGGUAGAGGGAGACUCCGAGGUAUUCGUGCAAGGCACCAUGUACCAUACUCAAGUCGCCACAUCCGAUGACAUGGAGCAAAAAUCUCGUCAUAUCACAGCAUUGAGGAGUGUAAUCAAUCCUCUUCAGAUGACUCCACACAGCCUCCAAGUCCUCCCACCAUGCGCCAACCCAAUUCCCUCACUAGAGCCUAUUCGAGAACCCUCACCAGCACAGGAACAAGCACAAACUAGACAACAUGCAAUCUUGGAAGAUCUCGGUACACCACAAACUGCUACGGAUGCCCCCAUGGAGCCCAGAGUAAAGCAAGAAUAGAAGAAACGAACUCUUGGGCUCGCUAAAUGUAUCAAGUUUGAAAAGAUGAGGAAGUAUAGGAAAGUGCUUUUGAAGAUAAACGACAGUGAGACUAUCUGUGUUGUGAACAUGCUUCUAUGUUCACAACACGAGUAUCAUAGAUUGUUAAACAAUAUUGCGACAUGAGUUAUGCUCGAUAGUCUCAUGUCCCACAAGCCAUGAAAGAGGAGCUCAUCGACCAUGUUCGGGCACUUCAACUCCUUCCAUUACAACUUGUACAAGAUUUAUCAAUCAUAUGGAAGCCUUGAAGAAGCAUUGGCUAAUGUGACUACAUUGGUGGACCCCCUUGUUUGGGUCAAGUUGUGUUGCAGGUGGGGCAGCGAUGCCUUUAAGAAAAUUUCAACUCAAAAUCGGGAGAACCAAAAGAAGCAAGCAAUUAAUCACACAUCAGGACGUAAAUCAUUCGUCCGAAUACUUGAGCAAAUGGUUUGAUUUGCUAUGCAGUGCUGUGAUGCAUGAUGGGAGUGAUGGGAUGUGGCCUGCAACACAGUGCAGGACAAAGGUGCACUUUAAAAGGAUCUCUCUGCAAUGGUUAUUCUUUGCUGAGAGAUCCACAACAUAACAAGGGGCUUGCUUUCAAUGAAAAACAGAGAGAUGCCCACUUUUUGCAAGGUCUUGUCCCUCCAACAGGUGCUUCUCAAUUCUCAUGAGCUUCAGGUGAAGAAAAUGAUGCAUAAUAUCUGCCAAUAUCAACUUCCACUACAGAAGUACAUGGCCAUGAUGGAUCUCCAGGAUACAAGAGUCCAUUCUCCACAUCCUUCAAAUAUUUUGAUUUUUAUUUUAUAAGAUGGCAUCAAAUAUUCGCACCAAAUUGAUGCAAAGGGAUAUGCGAUGCUCUCUUUACUUGUAUACAUGAGAGUUGAUGAUAGCCUUCAAGUGCCACAAGAUAUUUUUUUUAGCCCCAGCUGAUUCUCUCUAGUUUUCUUGUCUAGCUAGUUUUGACACCAAGUGUUUCCUGACUUGACAGAUUUUCCCUCCACUCUUUUCUUUGUUCUGGUCUAGUAAUUGACAAUGUUUCCCAAACUUCAAUUUAGAAUGACAAGUUAGUGAUAUAUUUCCUUUAUUUGAUUAUUGGAAGUCUUAACUUUAAUUAUUUGGCACAAAAUAUCAUCAUGUAAUGUUCGCCAGCCAUCAUAUAUUUCAUGAUGGUGAUCAUCAUCAUCAUCCUCCUUGAGGAAUUGAAUUGCACUCAAUUUAAACUAUAGGAUUUAUUCAUUAAUUCCUUAGAAUAUCAGUUAGGAUAAGGAGAGAACGGAAUAACAUUAAGGAAAACGAUUUUGAAAAUGCCUCAGAAUUAAAUAUGCAGUUCCGACCAUUAUAAAAUUGCUGGCAAUACUUUUUUCCAAUAAUUUAAGAAUCACUACAACUAAGUUCACAAAACAAAAAUAUAAUUUGCGACGAUUCUCGAAUAACUGGCAAUGGCUCAAAAGUAACGAUUUUCCAAUUGCUGCAAUUGCAUAUUAAAAAUCAAGAACUCAAUUGUAGCGAUUCUAAAAUUACUGGGAAAUAUAAUCUCCAGCGAUUUUAUAAUCGUUGUAAUAGAGUUCUCAAAAUGAAUUAGUUAGUUACAGCGAUGUUUUGAAAAUGCUGGAAAUGGCUAUUUCCAGCGAUUUUAGUCCUUUUAGAGAUAGUAAUAAAUCGCUGGAAUUAGUGUUUUCUAGUGAUUUUGAACUGGAUCGUAGAUCAUAAGUGCGGUGAUAUUGUUUACUAUUUGCGACAAAUAAAAUCACCGGCAAAGAUCACAUUUUAGCAACGAUGUUUGGCUUUUGUUGCUUUAGAUCAAAAGUGAAGGAAUAAUACCAGGGAAUGUGCAGUGAGGUGUAAAUUGUUGGUAAAAGAUAUUACUGGCGAUCUUUAGGACUUUUCCCAUAAAAAAUAAUCGCCAGGAAAAGUCACUUCCAUUAUAGUGGAUGUUGUUUUGUUAGGCUUGAUACAAAAACUUUUGGUAGGCUUGAUUUAUGCAAUUAAUUACAUUGAACAAUUCUUUAUUAUAAAAUUCAUGCAUGCAACAACCAUGGAACUCUACUUCCGCUGUCGCAUCAAGUACUGCUGCCUUGAGUAGUUUCGCUGCCUUGUAUAGUUCCGCCAUACCAAUGAUGGGCCCUCCUCCAACUGCCUACCCAUAUCCAUGAAUCAAUUAGGUGAUGAUUUCAUGGAGUAUUGGUCGUAAUUAAUGUUCUUUAAUUUUUUGAACUUGAAUAUUUAGUCUAAUUAUUUAUGUUUAAUUUUUUUAUUUUUUGGGAAAAUUCCAGCAACACUCAUGGAACUCUCUUUUUGAUGUAAUGGAUACUUCCAUUGCCAUGUCUAUGAUCGCUCCCAUGUUUAGGUCCACAACCAGUGCCACUUCUAGUCUACAAAACAAGCGCUUGUAUAGUUGCUAGCUCUUGUUCGGCUUCACCAACAUUCGUUCCUCCAACGAGAGGCGUGGAUUGGACACCGAACUAUUGAAAAGCAAUGGAAACCAACUUAGCUCAUCGAGAAUGAGGACGCAAGAAAAUAUACCAACUUUCGUAAUGGUGGAUGAAGAAAGCAUAGAACAAGACGUGAUGGAGACACCAAAAAGUAUACAAACCCUAGUGAUUGGGACACAGAAAAGUGUACAAUUACCACUUUGAUUCAUUUAUUGUAUUUGUAUGUUGUUUAUGUUGGUCUUACUUUGUCUACUAUUACAUUUAUAGAUGUAACUAGGGAUGGAUGGAACACAACUAGAGAUUACAGAUGGAACACAGCCAUAUAACUUCUUGUAGUAGGACUUUGAGAUCAAUUAUUGAAGUAUGUUGUGCAUU